AAACUAUGUUGAGGACAUGUUCAUAGGAGUUCCAUGAACCUUUCCAAUGUCUCAAAUAGAGACUCCAUUUCAAUCUGCACAAAGGAAGAAAUCUAAUUGCUAAGCUU